rnacentral:lncRNA from 1 species
UUAAUAACACUUUAUUAUUAAUAAAAAAAUUUGACCGAAGUUGCGCAAACGUAUGCCUCGAUUUAUUUUACAAAUCGUAAUUAUGUCACGCGAACAUGUACACAAUCACAAUUAUAGAUUAAAUCACUCCUAAAGCAAACUACGAUUUAUGGAUGAAUUGGUGAUUGUGAGCAAAGAGGCCUGAAUUCAUGGGGUACUUUUACUAAGGAGUUUCAUUGCACUCGACCAACCCAAUGCCUAAGCGUGUAAGCAAUUAAAUCAAUAAUGGGCUAGGCCUUUACCAACCCAUAUGGCCCAUUCAAGCAUUCAAGAUAAAGCAAAAUGGAAAUCCCCAAACGAGUAAGCAUAUAAGUCCCUGAGAGAAAACAAUUUAACAUGAAAAGGAUAAAUAAUGAGAUAAGAUAAAGUGAAAAGCAGCAGAACCCCUAAAGACUGAUCUGUGUAAAUUCCCCUACAUUAUCAUUUAUGCUUGAGUGGUUCUUUUGGAAUUUCUCCUAAACCAAUGUUCAAAUACAUUAAGAAUUACACAUAUACAGUCUUUCACACCAGAAACAUUUGAACAUCAAUUGUUCACAAAGUUAGGCUAAUAGUUUAGGCAUUCAAAGUUAGACAAACACUCAAGGAAUGUUGGCCACCUAUUUCAUUUUUUGAUGACAUAAAAGUUGGAAUUCUUAGUUAACGACUGACUUAUUUUCAAUUAGGACACUCCCAGCAAAGAUGGAAACAAUGAAUCAACAUGCGACUCCAAAACAUGCAUACUUACAUACUUAUUCUCAUUAAUCAAACAAUAUGCAUGACAUGAAUGAUUAACCUCAAUCGAUUUGCAUUAAUUAUACUAAUGACAUGCUUGAAAGACAUUUCUAGGAGAGAUCAAUCCAUAUUAUCUAACAGUGGCUAGGAAAGCAUAACAAAACUAACAUGUGCAUUAUAAAGAGACAUGGAACACAAAGGGCAAACAAGCUCGCUUAAAGCUUGACUCAAUAACACCAAUGAAUCACUGACAAUAGGAGAACAAAAAUCACUCAAUCCAGGAAAAUCAUGAGGAACACCAGCCCAUGGAAAUUCACAUUUAAUUUCUUUAACUAGCUAACAAAGGUACUGUCUCAAUACUAAAUCGAAAAUAUCCAACAUGAACUCUGAUCGAAUGAAAUGAAGCCUCAAGGAGACAUUUACAUAUAUUUCAACAAAAGCAUGGUUUUAUUUGUGAACAUGUUUCAAAAAGUAUGAUAAAAAAAAGUCCAAACUCAGAACUCUAAACCUUAAACAGAAAUGAAACCAAAGAAACAUGCUACUCUAAUGGCUAAAAGCCUUUGACUACUUAAUCGUAAGCAAAAAAAAACAUUGACAAAUCAACUACCGAUUGACACGCUGAAUACACAGUUUCAUCGCAAUUGGUUCUGACACUCCAAUAUUAAUCUGACUGGACCACACAAGGAUCCCAAACAGUAAACAAAUUCACAAAAAAGGAUAAAAAAGAAGAAAUUAGCCAGAUGCACAUGAAGUGAUCAGUAACAACUUAACAAACUGCAUUAAAAUAAAGAGGAAAUAACAGACCUGUUGAUAAAGAAUUACUUUUAAUAGAAUCAGAAGAAACAAAUGAGUAUAGAUUCAACGGCCAACUCCAAAUCGUGAAAUCACCGCAGAAAUCGACCUCGAACAGCAGCGGACUUAACAACUUCCCAAAUGAAUUUCAUUNNNN